CCUACGGGAGGCAGCAGUGAGGAAUAUUGGUCAAUGGACGAGAGUCUGAACCAGCCAAGUAGCGUGAAGGAUGACUGACCUAUGGGUUGUAAACUUCUUUUAUAUGGGAAUAAAAUGUUCCACGUGUGGGAUUUUGUAUGUACCAUAUGAAUAAGGAUCGGCUAACUCCGUGCCAGCAGCCGCGGUAAUACGGAGGAUCCGAGCGUUAUCCGGAUUUAUUGGGUUUAAAGGGAUCGUAGGUGGGUUGGUAAGUCAGUUGUGAAAGUUUGCGGCUCAACCGUAACAUUGCAGUUGAAACUGGCAGUCUUGAGUACAGUAGAGGUGGGCGGAAUGCGUGGUGUAGCGGUGAAAUGCUUAGAUAUCACGAAGAACUCCGAUUGCGAAGGCAGCUCACUGGAGUGCAACUGACACUGAGGCUCGAAAGUGUGGGUAUCGAACAGGAUUAGAUACCCUUGUAGUC
rnacentral:rRNA from 1 species